rnacentral:rRNA from 1 species
CCCUUAGAUGUUCUGGGCUGCACGCGUGCUACACUGAUAUUGCCAAUAUGUCAUUCUUAUCCGAAAUGGAUUGGGUAAUCAAGUAAUGAAAUUUCAUGCUUGGAAUCGGUAAUUGCAAUUUUAUCGUGAACGAGGAAUUCCUAGUAAGCACUAGUCAUCAGCUAAUGUUGAUUAUGUCCCUGCCCUUUGUACACACCGCCCGUCGCUACUACUGAUUGGGUGUUCAAGUGAGAUGCUUAGACCCUUGUUGCAUGGUUCAUUAUUGUGCUCCGAAAGGAAAAAGUUUCAAGCUUGAGUGUCUAGAGGAAGUAUAAGUCGUAACA